GGGUUGUGAGGUUAAGCGACUAAGCGUACACGGUGGAUGCCCUGGCAGUCAGAGGCGAUGAAGGGCGUGCUAAUCUGCGAUAAGCGCCGGUAAGGUGAUAUGAACCGUUAUAACCGGCGAUACCCGAAUGGGGAAACCCAGUGUGACUCGUCACACUAUCAUUAACUGAAUCCAUAGGUUAAUGAGGCGAACCGGGGGAACUGAAACAUCUAAGUACCCCGAGGAAAAGAAAUCAACCGAGAUUCCCCCAGUAGCGGCGAGCGAACGGGGAGGAGCCCAGAGCCUGAAUCAGCAUGUGUGUUAGUGGAAGCGUCUGGAAAGGCGCGCGAUACAGGGUGACAGCCCCGUACACAAAAGCGCAUGUGCUGUGAGCUCGAUGAGUAGGGCGGGACACGUGGUAUCCUGUCUGAAUAUGGGGGGACCAUCCUCCAAGGCUAAAUACUCCUGACUGACCGAUAGUGAACCAGUACCGUGAGGGAAAGGCGAAAAGAACCCCGGCGAGGGGAGUGAAAAAGAACCUGAAACCGUGUACGUACAAGCAGUGGGAGCCCCACCACUAAGCCAGUGGUGAACUCCACAUACGCAUCCUUUGCUGAGGAUACGGUUAACGGAGCGAAAGCGACGUUCAACCUCAAAAGAAGCAGAGGG
rnacentral:rRNA from 1 species